GUAACGGAGGCGCCCAAAGGUUCCCUCAGAAUGGUUGGAAAUCAUUCGUAGAGUGCAAAGGCAUAAGGGAGCUUGACUGCGAGACCUACAAGUCGAGCAGGGACGAAAGUCGGGCUUAGUGAUCCGGUGGUUCCGCAUGGAAGGGCCAUCGCUCAACGGAUAAAAGCUACCCCGGGGAUAACAGGCUUAUCUCCCCCAAGAGUCCACAUCGACGGGGAGGUUUGGCACCUCGAUGUCGGCUCAUCGCAUCCUGGGGCUGUAGUCGGUCCCAAGGGUUGGGCUGUUCGCCCAUUAAAGCGGUACGCGAGCUGGGUUCAGAACGUCGUGAGACAGUUCGGUCCCUAUCCGUCGUGGGCGUAGGAAAUUUGAGAGGAGCUGUCCUUAGUACGAGAGGACCGGGAUGGAC
rnacentral:rRNA from 1 species